UACGUAGGGCGCAAGCGUUGUCCGGAAUUAUUGGGCGUAAAGAGCUCGUAGGCGGUUUGUCGCGUCUGUCGUGAAAGCUUGGGGCUUAACCCCAAGUCUGCGGUGGAUACGGGCAGACUAGAGGCAGGUAGGGGAGAACGGAAUUCCCGGUGUAGCGGUGAAAUGCGCAGAUAUCGGGAGGAACACCGGUGGCGAAGGCGGUUCUCUGGGCCGACACUGACGCUGAGGAGCGAAAGCGUGGGGAGCGAACAGG
rnacentral:rRNA from 1 species